ACAGAGGUGGCAAGCGUUGUUCGGAAUUACUGGGCGUAAAGGGCGAGUAGGUGGCCAUCUAAGUCAGACGUGAAAUCCCCCGGCUUAACCUGGGAACUGCGUCUGAUACUGGACGGCUAGAGUUUGGGAGAGGGAUGCAGAAUUCCAGGUGUAGCGGUGAAAUGCGUAGAUAUCAAGAGGAACACCUGAGGUGAAGACGGGUUGCUGGGCCGACACUGACGCUGAAUGCGCGAAGGCCAGGGGAGCAAACGGGA
rnacentral:rRNA from 1 species